AUACUUACCUGGCAGGGGAGACACCAUGAUCAAGAAGGCGGCCUUCACCCAGGGGCGAGGCUUGUCCAUUGCACUCGCGCCAUGCUGACCCACUGGCGAAUCUCCCCAAAUGCAAGGAAUCUCGACUGCAUAAUUUAUGGUAGUGGGGGACUGCGUUCGCGCUCCCUCCCU
rnacentral:snRNA from 1 species